rnacentral:tmRNA from 1 species
ACGCUUGCGUUCCGCACCGGAUCGGUCCUAUAUUGGGGGUGCCGGGGAUACCCGGCUAUGACGCUAAACCCCUUGCGGAAUAAGCGUAGCGGACCCGGGGGCAGUACCCGGCGCCUCCACCAUUUUCACGGCCCGGCCCUUGUGGCCCGUGCCGGUCCGGGGGCGAAACAGGAUCGACGCGCGUGGUAAAGGCCUGGGUUGUGUUCGGUAUGGUACCCGCCGUUAUCGGGCCGAAACCUACAAGUGCCAACGACAACGUUGAGUACGCCGCUGCGGCUUAAUAACCCGUAAGCGCGGCCCGGGGGGCGCCGGGCAACAGAAGCCCCCCACC